UACGUAGGGAGCAAGCGUUGUCCGGAAUCAUUGGGCGUAAAGCGCGCGUAGGCGGCCUUGUAAGUCCGUUGUGAAAGUCAAAGGCUCAACCUUUGAAAGCCGAUGGAUACUGCAAGGCUAGAGUUCGGAAGAGGCGAGUGGAAUUCCUGGUGUAGCGGUGGAAUGCGCAGAUAUCAGGAGGAACACCAAUAGCGAAGGCAGCUCGCUGGGACGAUACUGACGCUAAGGCGCGAAAGCGUGGGGAGCGAACAGG
rnacentral:rRNA from 1 species